rnacentral:lncRNA from 1 species
GGUUCCGGGGACUUCUGGGAAAAGGGAAAUCCUAGAGACGGAAAGCGGAAGCGGCGCGUCCCGAGGCAUUCUGGGAGUCGCAGUUCGUCCGGGGCAACUUCUGCCUCUCAGGCUGGUUGCAGCCGGCGCCCCGGGCCAGCGCAGCCUGGGCCCCAGCCAUCCUGCCCCCUCUCCGGCCGGGAGAAGCGGGCGCUGGGCUCUGGGGCUCCCUGAGCCCGCGGAGGCCAGCGCCCAGGGCGCACAAGAAGAGCAGGGGUGGAAGAAGAAAGGAAUUUCAAGGAGGGCAUUGCUUAAAGGGACGUUUGGACAGAGCCAGUUUCGGUGCUGGGCCGCAGCUCAGUGCCUAAUUUUAAUCUCAGGACUGCAGCCUGCGACCCGUGGACGCGCCCAGAAACACGCUACGGGCUGGGGUGUGACAAUCUCAGAGCCGGAACUCACCCCACACCCUGAAAUCAACAACCCCACUUGGUAAGUCCUGUGAGCAGCCCCUGAUCAGUCAGCACCCUUCAAGCCUGGGACCCAGCAUGAACCCAAGGACCAUGCAGCCUUUGUAAAAGUUACCUGGUUUUAGGACCUCCCUGCAGCAGGUGUCUGGCGGAGGAGGGAGAGGAUCAGGUGGGAGGGAAGGAAAAGCUUGAGAUCUCUGGAGAGAAAGAGCACAGGUAUGAGCACAGUCUGCGCCCGAAACCACUGUGCUGACACGGCGCCUUCACAACCAGAAGGCCACCUUUCUGGAAGUACAUUCUACAUGGACCAGCCUGAUUCCAGCAAAUUGUAGGGCCAAAAUCCAAGCCCGGUAUUUCUGGGUCCAGAGUUGUGCCUCCAAACCACCAACAGGACUCAGACCAGAGUUAGCCUGUCAAACUCUCUAGCCAUUGGGCCACCAGACCAAGGACCCAUCUCCAAUCUUGCCUGGGGGCCUGAAGGUGAAGUCCAGGUGAUGCAGGCGGAGGGGGGCGGGGUGGGGGGGCACUCUGGUGCUAUGGCGCCAUCUGGUGGCCAUCUGUUCUAACAUUCUCAGGCCUCCCUCUGCCUCCCACAGCAGAAGCCUGGUCUGCACUGGCCUGGGCCCCUUGCCAGCCUGAUUUCCUAAGUCCUCUCCCUCACAGCACACUGAAAGGCACGAUGGGGGGACUAUCUCAGAGUCAGCCAGGGCCCUCACCCCAACUGAGACCACCCCACUCCCUGAAAUCAGACACCUUGGUAAGUUAGUGGAACCAGGUGGCCCUCCAUCAGCACCCCGCAACCCUGCACCUGGCUUGAGAUCCAGGACCUCCCAGGCAUCAUUCACACUCCCUGGAUUGAGGUAGGUUCCUUGACAGAGUCCCCUGCAGAGGAGGAAGAGGCUCAGGUGGAACAGGAGGAAGGAGGAGGUGGAGAUCUCGAGAGAGAAAGGUACAGGGAGAGGCUGAGACCUGCCCCCACAGCACCACCACAUUAAUGCACUGCAUUCAUGACCAAAAGCCCAGCUU